CUGCCUUGUUGAUAGUGCUGUUAAGAAGGUAGAAACUAGGGCCUGUAGGACCUGCCUUGUUGAUAGUGUUGUUAAGAAGGUAGAAACUAGGGCCUGUAGGACCUGCCUUGUUGAUAGUGUUGUUAAGGUAGAGCAGCGCUUUAUUAUGGACAGACUUCUCCCCAUCUUAGCUACUGUUGUAUCAAUAUGUUUUCACAACAAUUUACAAUCCAGUGUUACUCCAAGCAGUUUAGUCUCCUCAACUUGCUCAAUUUACACAUUAUUCAUUUUAUUUUUUAUUUUAUUUCACCUUUAUUUAACCAGGUAGGCAAGUUGAGAACAAGUUCUCAUUUACAAUUGUGAGCUGGCCAAGAUAAAGCAAAGCAGUUCGACAUACACAACGACACAGAGUUACAAGAUUUAGUUUAGGGUUUAGUGAAUGACUUGUCACAAAUACAAUGCUUUUAGUUUUCUGUGUAUUUAGGACAAAAUUAUUUCUGAAACUGACUGCAGGUCUUUGUUAAGUGUUCCAGUGAUUUCACUCGCUGUGGUUGCUUACAUGUAUAGUAUUGAGCCAUCAGCACACACAGACACACAGGCUUUACUCAGUGCCAUUGGCAGGUCAUUAGUAAAGAUUGAAAAACACUGAGGGGCCUAGACAGCUGCCCUGGGGAACGCCUGACUCUACCUGGAUUAUGUUGGAGAGGCUUCCAUUAAAGAACACCCUCUGUGUUCUGUUAGACAGGGUAACUCACAAACCACAAUAUAUAGCAGGGGGUGUAAAAGCUAUAACACAAGUUUUUCCAGCAUCAGAUUCUGAUCGAUAAUAUCAAAAGCUGCACUGAAGUCUAACAAAACACUAGCUGUGGUAGCAAUCAAUUUUUAUCAUACAUUUUCUCUCAGCCAAUCAUCACUCAUUUGUGUAAGUGCUGUGCUUGUUGAAUGUCCUUCCCUAUAAGCGUACUGAAAAUGUCUUGUUAAUUUGGUUUACUGUGAAAUAGCAUUGUAUCUGGUCAAACACCAUUUUUCUCAAAACAUUUACUAAGGGUUGGUAACAGGCUGAUUGGUUGGCUGUUUGAGACAGUAAAGGUAAAGCUUUACUAUUCUGGGUAGUGGAAUGAUUUUUGCUUCCCUCCAGGACUGAGGGCACACACUUUCCUGUAGGCUUAGAUUGAAGAGAUGGCCAAUAGGAGUGGCAAUAUCGUCCGCUAUAGUCCUCAAGUCAUUUUCCAUUCAAGUUGUCAGACCAAGGUGUCUUGACAUUGUUGAUAGACAACAUCAACAAAAUAUCACCACUUCCACACUCAAUUUCCAGAAUUCAAAAUGACAUUUGCUUUCCUUUCAGAUUUUGGUCAGUUAUACACAGAUGUGUAGGUUCAGAAUUUGUUGUUGGGAUGUCAUGCAUAAGUUUUCCAAUUAAAAUAAAUUGGAAAUAUCAAAUGGGUUUGUGAUGAAAAAGACAUCUGAUUCAAUGAUUGAUGGAGAUGAGUUUGCCUUCUUGCCCAAAAUGUUACUUAAGUUAUCAUUCUUUAUAUAGUAUAUAUAUAUAUAUAUAUAUAUUUUUUUUUUCUUAUUUUUGUUAAGUUUUAGUCGUGAUUUCUCAAUUUACAGUUUGCCAAUCGGCUGUGCAGACAGAUUUAUUUGCCAUUCCUUUUCCCUCAUCCCUCUCAAUCGUUAAAUUCUUAUUAGUAAUUGAAAUAUGUAGUUAGUGUAUGUAGUAGUCAUAAAUGUGUGAAGUGCAGUGUCUAGUUGCUCCUCAUUACACACCACAGACCAAUAGAUAUUAUGUACCUCUUCAACGUAGGAAUCACCACAAAACAUAUUGUCAUUGACCUCUAAAACACUAUAUUAGUGGCCCAGCCUUUGGAACUUUGUUUUUUUUCUCGAUGUGGCUACUUGUGAUCAAUACAUCCUAUGGAUUUGGAUAACAUUUCUGCAGCGUUAGUAAAGAUCAAUCCAUGUGGAUUAUUUAAUCCCUGUGCUGUUUGUAACCUAGGUUUGCAGGCAGUUUGAAGUUAAACCAGUAAAAAAUGUAAGUCACCCAGAAAAUAUACUUCUCUGUUGAUUUCACAUACGUUAUCCAGAUACUGACUGUUAGCACUUUGUCUAUAGCCGCUUUCCACCACUCGCUUUAGGUGAGGCUCAACACCCUGACCUGGACUACCUGGAAUUUUGACCUUUGACCCUAGAUGUCAUUUAUUUGACCUCUUUCAUAUGAGCACAUAUGUUUUGUAUGGAACAUUUUGGGGUCCCCUUUUACCAAGGUAACGCCUCUCGAGGCGAGAACCCCGAAAAUGUUAAAAUUCAUUUUUCGUCGUAGGCGAAAAGUUUUAAUAUUUUCUCGAGACUAAUUGGAUUCCGAAUGCGCCGAUAUCAAAUUUAUACCCGUCAGGUGAACCUGAAGCCCCUAUUACUUCAACAGCAUUUGACAUGAGGUCCUCUCUAAGCUUUACAGGAAUAUGACUCAUAAACAGCAACAUGAUAUGAACAUAAAACAUUAACACCUCCACUAUUGGCAUUCCUGUCUCUUACCUGAAGAUGGCGAAGCCAUGUAUCUCUACCACCGUAUCAAAAGGUAUUUGUUUUCAGAUUGUCAGUAUAUGAAUGUUAUUAGCAAGUUAUUAAUUUCAUAAACCUGUUAAUGUGGCCUAUUUUGUUUUGCACUUUUCUGGGA
ensembl:lncRNA